rnacentral:rRNA from 1 species
UGGGGAAUAUUGGACAAUGGGCGCAAGCCUGAUCCAGCAAUGCCGCGUGAGUGAUGAAGGCCUUAGGGUUGUAAAGCUCUUUCGCACGCGACGAUGAUGACGGUAGCGUGAGAAGAAGCCCCGGCUAACUUCGUGCCAGCAGCCGCGGUAAUACGAAGGGGGCUAGCGUUGUUCGGAAUUACUGGGCGUAAAGGGCGCGUAGGCGGCCUGUUUAGUCAGAAGUGAAAGCCCCGGGCUCAACCUGGGAAUAGCUUCUGAUACUGGCAGGCUUGAGUUCCGGAGAGGAUGGUGGAAUUCCCAGUGUAGAGGUGAAAUUCGUAGAUAUUGGGACGAACACCUGUGGCGAAGGCGGCCAUCUGGACGGACACUGACGCUGAGGCGCGAAAGCGUGG